AAGUUGGAAGUUCACUUAUCUUCAAAAAUGCGUGGCUGGCCUCUCGAAAAGAGUAUCAUAACCACUAACUCAGAUCUUGAUCUUGAUCUUGAUAGUGUAAACAAGAUAUCGAGGAUGUUAUUGUAAUCAAUAACCUAUGGAAAAUCUCCGGCUAUCACCGCUAAGACAAGGUAGGUUUAAGUCGCCACUUUCAGGGAAGUCUACUCAAAGGGAAGCACCUACAUUUUGUGAGAGAGUGCAUUCAGGUCGAACUCCUUGUAGAGACGGCAGAGAUGUGAUGGAGCUGUUCAGUGUUUCGAAAAUAACCAGUGAGAACAUCAUUGAAUUUUUAAGUCUGAGAAGAAUGAACCUACAAUAUACCUUCAUAUCUGAUACUAAAUUGAAGUCAUCCAAGUUAAGCAGCUCGACCGGUUUGCAAAACGCUGCAUCAACAUACUCUGUCUCCACUAGCUCCUCAUGUCUUUGCUUCAGAAUCAUUGCUUUGACUUUUUUAAGAGUUACAUCUAUCUUAUUAAAUUAGAAGUACUUUGACCU